GGCCCCGUCCUGUACAAAACGCGAUUACGUGUUAUUCGAUUAUACGCGGCCUACUCGCAGAAUUCGUUGAUAUCGAACAGAGAGGAGUGUGGCCUCUGCUGCUACAAACGCGGCGAGCAGACGUGAGCGACCGCUUAAAAUGCUCCACUCAGCACAAGGUUGUGUGCAACUGGCACAAGGGCAUGUCUAGUAGGCAUGUCGGUGUCAAGUGUUACCAACGACAAUCAAAAUCAGAAAAAAUAAUUAAAUAUAUUAUUUGAUUGGAAAAAAAAAUAUCCCGACAAGGAAUGCUUAUAAAGGAACAUAAUUAAAGACUUAAAUAUUUCAUGAAUUAUC